CGGCGAGUGAGCGGCACAGCUCAAAUUUGAAAUCUGGCUCCUUUGGGGUCCGAGUUGUAAUUUGCAGAGGGUGCUUUGGCAUCGGCGGCGGUCUAAGUUCCUUGGAACAGGACAUCGCAGAGGGUGAGAAUCCCGUACGUGGGCGCCUGCCUUUGCCGUGUAAAGCCCCUUCGACGAGUCGAGUUGUUUGGGAAUGCAGCUCUAAAUGGGAGGUAAAUUUCUUCUAAAGCUAAAUACCGGCCAGAGACCGAUAGCGCACAAGUAGAGUGAUCGAAAGAUGAAAAGUACUUUGGAAAGAGAGUCAAAUAGCACGUGAAAUUGUUGAAAGGGAAGCGCUUGCAGCCAGACUUGCCCGCAGUUGCUCACCCAGGCUCCGGCCUGGGGCACUCUUCUGCGGGC
rnacentral:rRNA from 1 species